AUGGUGAUUGUAGUUCCCACGCAUAAAGCAUUUGAUACAUUACUAUCUCUGUCUAUUUUCUAUGACAGAGACGCUUGGUCUCAAAACAU
rnacentral:snoRNA from 1 species